CCAGUACCUCUGCCAGCGCCUCAUACCCUCGCAAGACCCACUCUUUGCCUCUCUCUCCCUCCUCUUCCUCCCUUCUCUCUCCCUCUCUCCCUCAUCUUCCUUGAUCUUCCUUGACUUCUCGAGCUUUCCCUUCUCUCUCUCCCUGAUCCAAAAACCCAACUCAAUGUUUAUGGUAUGACUCUGUAAUUGUACCAGCCACCAGGUUUUGGUUAAACAAAAAAGGACCCAAGUGUUUAUUUCAUUGGAUUAUCAUGUGAGGGACUAUGGAGUUGGGAAUUACUACCACUGAGCUCAUAUUCACAGUGACCCACAUAGAGAAUUUGUGUUUUGAAGCUUAGAUUUGGCCAUGGAGAAACUUCCUGAUGCAGAAACUACA